rnacentral:rRNA from 1 species
UAUCCUCGGCACGUUGUUUGCAUUUUUUCCGCGAAAGCUUUGAGGUUACAGUCUCGGGGGGAGUACGUUCGCAAGAGUGAAACUUGAAGAAAUUGAUGGAAUGGCACCACAAGACGUGGAGCGUGCGGUUUAAUUUGACUCGACACGGGGAACUUUGCCAGAUCCGGACAGGGUGAGGAUUGACAGAUUGAGUGUUCUUUCUCGAUCCCCUGAAUGGUGGUGCAUGGCCGCUUUUGGUCGGUGGAGUGGUUUGUUUGGUUGAUUCCGUCAACGGACGAGAUCCAAGCUG